rnacentral:rRNA from 1 species
UGGGGAAUAUUGGACAAUGGGCGAAAGCCUGAUCCAGCCAUGCCGCGUGUGUGAAGAAGGUCUUCGGAUUGUAAAGCACUUUAAGUUGGGAGGAAGGGCAGUAAGCGAAUACCUUGCUGUUUUGACGUUACCGACAGAAUAAGCACCGGCUAACUCUGUGCCAGCAGCCGCGGUAAUACAGAGGGUGCAAGCGUUAAUCGGAAUUACUGGGCGUAAAGCGCGCGUAGGUGGUUCGUUAAGUUGAAUGUGAAAGCCCCGGGCUCAACCUGGGAACUGCAUCCAAAACUGGCGAGCUAGAGUAGGGCAGAGGGUGGUGGAAUUUCCUGUGUAGCGGUGAAAUGCGUAGAUAUAGGAAGGAACACCAGUGGCGAAGGCGACCACCUGGGCUCAUACUGACACUGAGGUGCGAAAGCGUGGGCAGCAAACAGG